rnacentral:tRNA from 1 species
GCCCUCAUCGUCUAGUGGCCUAGGAUAUCGCCCUCUCACGGCGGAGACCGGGGUUCGACUCCCCGUGGGGGUA